GGGUCAUAGGCAGGGCCAGUCAGUAUGUCCAUAUGGAGCUGAGAAUGGUCAGAGAGAAUGUGGAAUCCUAAAUCCACUACCUCAAGAAUAAAGAGUAUUGUCAGGUCACUUUCUCGGGGUGACUAAGAAAGAAAGAGACAAUGCUGUGAGCUUGAAUUUAUGCCUUACAAACCUCCCAGUGACAGAUGAGGAAAUUGAGGCUCGUGGCUUGGACUUGCUGUGUCCAAGCACGGAAAUUAAGCGGUUGGCGUCUGUAAUGAAGCUAGGUUAGAACUCAAGUUGACCCAAGCCAGGAAACACGCAUUUCUCCAUAUCACACUAUGCAGUGGGUAGUUCACAUAAGACCUCCAGCUUCCUGUAGCCUAUAACCCAUCAACUACACUGAGUGGAGAAAUACAGAACAUGGUGUGUUGAAUUAUAUUCUUUUCAGUCUGUCUUUGUCACUCUUGUUUUUUCUUCAAUUGUAAAAUUUGUUUUGCUAGUUUUAAAAGUAGGGUAUUCUUGAAUCCAGUAUCUUGCACAGGCAGAACUCCCGAACUGUAUCCCAUACAUUGCCUAGGAUUUCUCACAUGGAAAAUCAAUUAAAAUCUGAUUUUGCACUUCCUGCAAUCUGUAUAAUAAGUGUCUAAAGUGUCAUAGAUGAAGAAACAAAGUUAUGAAGAGGAAAAAGUACCAAGGUCUUUAGUGAGCAUAUGAAAGCUUUCUCUGACUUCUUAGCUAAAUUUUUGCUUGAUCUGAUCGAAUUCUCUUCUAUUACCUUCUGAGGUAUCCUGACUACUUCAAGCCUCCAUUUGCUCUUCAGAAUUCCUGAUACCUGUGGUGAUCAACAAAGUGUCUAACAGGUUUGUCACCAAAAAGUACUGCUUCGCUCUCCGUGGUUGGAAAUCUUUUCUGAUAUAUCAAGGGAUAUUCCUUCUGAAACUUAAAAAUGAGUUUCUUCCCGUUCCACCUCCACUAUCCUCACCUUUUUUGAAGAACAGAUUCUCCUCUAAUCUAUGGAGAGCCAAUCAGAGCAUGGCCCUGUCUCCAACGCAUUCACCCUCAACCACCUAAAAGAUGUGUAUCUAGCCUGGAUGGGGCCAAUCAGAGUCCAUGUGAAGAACUUUUCAAACUGAUUGAUGGAAGACACUGGAGACCUCUUUACUUGAACUCCCUGCAGACUGAGAAGAAGACACUCAGUUGAUUUGAAGGAAUUCAAAUUGUUUAAGCGAAGGAUUUUUGAAGACUGUGGAUCAUCUUGAAUUUUAUGUAUCCCACUGGGUCUAUCUGAAACUGUGACGUAGCCACAAACAACUACCAGGAAAUGAAACAAAAAUUAAGAUGCAACUGUGUGACAGUGGACAAAAAUAAAACAAAAACAAUAGUAAAGUUAAAAAAAUAAAGCAUUACUAUAGUAUAUAUUGUUAGUAUAGUACAACAGCAGUUGCUUAAUUCAGAAGCCACUUAAAUAGGACACAUGCAACAUUCAGUUACAAAGUGCAAGACUGAGUAGAGGUUUUCCAACUUGUGAUAUAAAUCACUUAAAAAUCUUUUCAACAAUCUAAUUAAAGGAAUUGAGUCAAAUACAUUAAAAAAAUCACUGGCUUCGUCUACAAGUAUUAGAAAGCUCUUAAUUAUAAGACAACUAACUGUACUACAAUAAAACUUACACAUUUGGUCUUUGUCUCUAGUAACUGGUAUAGUGCUCCUAAAACGUUUGGAAUUUCCAGAGAGGGCGUCUUUUGUUAUCCAUAGUACAUCUACUGGAGAACAUCUGAGUUUAUGGUAAUGAGGUGACUUAGGGCUGAACUUGCUUAGAAGGUUGGAGCUUUCAACCUACCUCAGACCUCCCUGAACAACAGAAGGAUGUGGACUGAAGACUCAGCAAAAUCACCAAUAACUGAUGAUUUAAUCAAUCAUGCCUAUGUAACUAACCCUCAGUUAAAACUAUGAAGUAACAAGGCCAACGGAGCAUACAGGUUGGUGAACACAUUGACAUGAUUGGGAGGGUGGAAUCCCUGGAGAAGGCAUGAAAGCUGUGUACAACCCUUACUUCUUCCACAUAGCUGUUUCUGAUUUGUAUCUUUUAUAAAAACUGGUACUCAUUAAAUAAAGCAGUUUCCAGA